GACGUAGGGCGCGAGCGUUGUCCGGAUUUAUUGGGCGUAAAGAGCUCGUAGGCGGCUUGUCGCGUCGUCCGUGAAAACCCACAGCUCAACUGUGGGCUUGCGGUCGAUACGGGCAGGCUAGAGUUCGGUGAGGGGAGACGUGGAAUUCCUGGUGUGAGCGGUGAAAUGCGCAGAUAUCAGGAGGAACACCGGUGGCGAAGGCGGGUCUCUGGGCCGAUACUGACGCUGAGGUGCGAAAGCGUGGGGAGCAAACAGG
rnacentral:rRNA from 1 species